CGGUGUGCUCUUUGCAAAGCCUUGGAGCUGCCUCUCCUGCAAAGUCUGAACUUGCAGAGAUAGUCCCACAAGAGAAAUCACCAAAAGCUUCCAUUCAACCAAUGCCACCGAGUCCAAGGUAUUCUACCUCAAGAUGAAGGGCGACUACCACAGGUAUACUGUUAUCGCUAGCAGAUCUAGACCAUGCAAGUUGUGGUUUGUAGAGAUCAAAACUUAAGAUCUGUGUGUAGAUAUUUGUCUAGACAAUGGGAGCGACAGGAUGCUGGUUUUUAGUAAGGUUGGUUGCUUAUCUAUGAAUUUGCCUGUAUGAUGCAUGAUCCUGUGCUGUCUCCUGUAGUACAUGGUUGAAAUAUAAAUUUGUGUUCCAUGUUUUUUA